UCUAAUUUGGAUUUAAAAUAUACUGUUACAUAUAAAAUAUGGGUUAUUAGGUAUAUAUCUGAUUCAAAUAAUAAGAGGAUAUGAAAGAUGUAUGAUUUUAUUCAAAAAAAUGUUGAUAUGUUGUUUUUAGUUUAAUAUUUAAUGAUGUAACAAUUAAUAAAUAAUAAUAAUAAUAAAAAAUAAAACAAAUGAAAUAUGAUUAAACAAAGUACAAAUUAUUUCAACUUCAGUAUUUAUGUAGAAAAUGGUCAAUUUUAUUUAUUGAUUAAAAUCAAUUUAAAUAAAAAUAUAUAUUAUGAUAACUAAAAGGGCAAAUCUCCAAAAUAUCACAUUUCUAAUUUUAUGUCACAAAAAUAGUCCUCAAAAACUAAAAUGACCAAAAUAGCAUUUUAUCUUUUGAAAAUUUUAAAUUUUUUUUAUUUUUCAAAAUUUGAAAUCUUAUCCCAAAACCCCACUCCCCAACUCUAAACCCUAAAACCUAAACUCUAAACCCUAAACCCUAAAUCUUAAACCCCACCCCUUAACUCUAAACCCUAAACUCUAAACCAUAAACCCUAAAUCCUAAACCCUAAACCCUAAAUCUUAAACCCCACCCCUUAACUCUAAACCCUAAACCCUAAACCCCACUCCUAAACUCUAAACUCUAAACUCUAAACUCUAAACCCUAAACCCUAAAUCCUAAACUC
rnacentral:lncRNA from 1 species